rnacentral:rRNA from 1 species
GAUGAACGCUAGCUACAGGCUUAACACAUGCAAGUCGAGGGGCAGCAUUAGGUAGCAAUACUGAGAUGGCGACCGGCGCACGGGUGCGUAACGCGUAUCCAACCUUCCCGUUACUCUUGGAUAGCCUUCCGAAAGGGAGAUUAAUACAAGAUGGUGUUGAAAUUCCGCAUGUUAUUUCAACUAAAGAUUUAUCGGUCACGGAUGGGGAUGCGUGACAUUAGAUAGAUGGCGGGGUAACGGCCCACCAUGUCCACGAUGUCUAGGGGUUCUGAGAGGAAGGUCCCCCACACUGGAACUGAGACACGGUCCAGACUCCUACGGGAGGCAGCAGUGAGGAAUAUUGGUCAAUGGCCGGAAGGCUGAACCAGCCAAGUAGCGUGAAGGAUGAAGGUUCUAUGGAUUGUAAACUUCUUUUAUGAGGGAAUAAAACCUCCCACGUGUGGGAGCUUGUAUGUACCUUAUGAAUAAGCAUCGGCUAACUCCGUGCCAGCAGCCGCCGUAAAAC